rnacentral:rRNA from 1 species
ACUCCUACGGGAGGGCAGCAGUGAGGAAUAUUGGUCAAUGGACGCAAGUCUGAACCAGCCAUGCCGCGUGAAGGAUGAAGGCCUUCUGGGUUGUAAACUUCUUUUAUGUGGGAAGAAACCUCUGAUUUCUAUUAGAGUUGACGGUACCAUAGGAAUAAGCACCGGCUAACUCCGUGCCAGCAGCCGCGGUAAUAC